rnacentral:rRNA from 1 species
UACGUAGGGUGCGAGCGUUAAUCGGAAUUACUGGGCGUAAAGGGUGCGUAGGCGGUGCUCUAAGUCGGAUGUGAAAACUCUGGGCUCAACCCAGAGCCUGCAUCCGAAACUGGAGUGCUAGAGUUCUGGAGGGGGUAGCGGAAUUCCUGGUGUAGCGGUGAAAUGCGUAGAUAUCAGGAGGAACACCGGUGGCGAAGGCGGCUACCUGGACAGAAACUGACGCUGAGGCACGAAAGCUAGGGGAGCAAACAGG